GUUGGGGAAUGCAUCAGUGUUAGAUCAAAAUGGGCUUGAACAUGCUAGCCCCCUGGCUUCAGGAGGAAUGUUUUCAAAUGGAGGAGCUAAUGUGGACAGAUGGGCAUCACCAUUUCAAUCAGAAAUAUCAGGUUUAAUGCACUCCCCGUCGACUCAGAACUGGCUUAAUACUCAAAGUAACUCAUCAGGCCUCAUAGUGAAGCGAACACUCAGAAUUGAUAUACCGGUGGAUCAAUAUCCUAGUUACAAUUUCGUGGGCCGACUUCUGGGCCCUAGAGGGAACUCUCUAAAGCGGGUGGAAGCUACUACUGAAUGCCGGGUUCUGAUAAGAGGACGCGGAAGCAUCAAAGAUCCAGUAAAGGAAGAAAUGAUGAGAGGCAAACCGGGAUAUGAGCACCUGAAUGAGCCUCUUCAUGUUAUUGUGGAAGCUGAACUGCCAGUGGAGAUCAUUGAUGCCCGGCUAUUGCAAGCACGUGAGAUAUUGGAAGAUCUGCUCAAGCCUAUGGAUGAGUCACAGGAUUUCUACAAAAAACAGCAGUUGCGUGAACUUGCAAUGCUGAAUGGUACUCUUCGUGAAGAAGGUUCUCAAAUGUCUGGUUCUGUUUCCCCCUUCCACAACAGUCUUAGUCUUGGGAUGAAGAGGGCUAAAACCAGAGUGUGAUCUUUGUGUAGUGGGAUUUGGAGCUUGUGCAUUGAUACACACCACUAACCAACCAGCAGGUCCUAUAUGCAACCGAUGUUGCUAUAACGUCUUAUGCCUCGCACUGCCAUCGGGGCACUGGUGCUGUUCUGUGCCAGUUCUAACUUGUCUCUAUAAUGAUAUGAAGUGUGUUUAUGUUCCGGUCAGGGAAGAUUUAGUAACAGUAAAGCCAUAGUUGUGGACCGCUUAGAGGUUUGCUUGAUGUCGUCAGAGCGGUGUCUUACCAACGUCAUUGUAUUAUUCCAUUAAUUUCUAGUUUGUGAUUUGAAGGUGUGGGAAUGACUGUAAUGCGAGCGAGGCGUGUCUGUACUGAUAAAAAAAGAAAGAAAAAAAAAGAGAGUUGAACUGAAGAAGAUGUAUGUUUACAGUUUUUAUGCCGUUGGUGGCUUUUCUGCUCUCCUUUAGAACAUUAUGUAAUAUUGUUGUGAACAUCAAAGCACUUGACACCAUUUAUUUUUAUGGCUUUGAGCUCAGUUUCUGUUUGUA
rnacentral:misc_RNA from 1 species